AGAAACUUAGGAUAGUCCUUUAAACUGAAGGCCUUCAAAGCCUUAAACAAGAGUUAAACUCUCUUAGCUUCUA
rfam:Cariama cristata contig102357, whole genome shotgun sequence.